AGGUGGCAUAUGCUAGAGCGAGAGGGAAUGGGAUCUUGUUAGAGAUUAAAAAAAAACUGAUUUUCUAGCCUAAUAAGCCGAUUAUGCGCAUGAGAAACAAAACUUUCAAUCUUUUUAUGUUUUUUUAGGUACAUACAUCAAUUUCUAGUGCACUUGAAGAGUUUUAGUCACUUCAAGAGUUUUCGGUUUCCCAAGUGAGACAAACUGGUUACACUGGCUACUUAUUACGUAUAUAUAAAAUGGGAAACAGAGAUCAUGUCGAUGCGUAAAAAAUGUGCAGUAUAGAGAAUCAUAUACAAUUUUAUGCAACUGUGGGCCCAAUGGCUGCAUGGCAGAGGAAACAAAUCGCGCGAGCCGUCACAGGUCCAAUCACGUCCAAUCACGGCGCGCGGCAAGGGGCACAUGAAAAAGGAACUCGAGCACGUGCAUCUCGGAUAAAAAAAGGCACACACAUGUCGCACGCAAUUGUCGUAUGAAAAAGGGACUUGCAUGUGUGAAACAGACUGCAACUAACAUGCGACUGACGUGAUGAUGAUGCCAGACGUACAAUUACGAAUGACAAGGAUUUGAUGGAUUAGAAAACUAACUCAUAUACGGAUAACAUAAAAAUCAGAAAACCAACUCAAAUAUAAAUGACGUACCAAAAUUCCAACGGAAACAUCUUCAUUUUUUAUAAUAGUGGCCAAGUCCUAUUGGGGUAAAAUAUGGCUUUGGGUUGAAACAUAUUAGUAAAUAUGGCUUUGGGCUGAAACAUAUUAGUUUGUGCUACAGGAAAUCUCAAACUGAUUGUAUGGCCCAAUAGGCAUUCUGUAGGUAUGGCCCAACAGCCAUUUUGUUUUUUUUUCCUGGAAACCGACGGGAUUUUGUUUUCAUGUAACGGAUUUGGUUUUCACGUGAUUUUUUUUUCUGGAAUCGGACAUGACUUUUUUGUCCUAACCAAAUACUUAUUGACGGACGAUGGAAGCACCUCUUAUUUUUUAAGUAGUAAAGAAGUAGAGAUAGAGAUAAGAGAUUAAAAUCGAUUCAAGAACGGAUGAUGUACAAAACUACCGGUAAAAAUAUCUUUAAUUUUUAUAAUAGUAGAGAAGAGAUAGAGAUAUACAUAGGCGUAAGAUCGCCAUCAUGCUUUCGGAUUAUGGAUGAUUAGCGAUGAAAUAUUGUGUGGGCUCACAUUUAAUGACGGACGAAAAGAUUAACGGAAGCCUUACUUAUUUUUUAAUUGUGUGGGAACGGUUUAAUGACGGACGAAAAUAUUAACCGGAAGCCUUGGUUAUUUUUAAUUUCUAUAUAAUAGUAGAGAUAGAGAUAUACACGGGUGUAAGAGAUCGCCGUCACGCUUUCGGAUUAUGGAUGAUUAGCGAUGAAAUAUUGUGUGGGCUCACAUUUAAUGACGGACAAAAAGAUUAACGGAAGCCUUACUUAAUUUUUAAUUGUGUGGACCACGGUUAAUGAUGGACGAAAAUAUGAACCGGAAGCCUUGUUUAUUUUUUAAUUAGGUAUAUUAAUAUAGUCUAGAAAAAAUACCUGUGCGUUGCAACGGGAAAAGACAAAGAUCCAAUGAUAAUAUAUGCUUUCUAGCUUCCUUUCCCUUUACCAUGUCGCGAUGAAAUUGUUAAUUAUAAUUGAGAAAGCUGAAUACGCUUAUACGGGAGCCUACGCUCUAUUUCACUGUAUCAAAAUAGUCUUCAUGAUCUAAUUCUGUUAGAACGAGAGAUAAGGGAAAAAUGCUACAUUUCCAGUAUAAUAAGUCGAUUGUGCACAUAUAUAAUAAGCAACACAUUAUUCCUUCUGUUAUUUUCCCGUGCUACAUACAUCAAUUAUUCGCAUGCCGUUAAAACAUAACACUAUUCAAAUCAUGUUCACCUUUU
rnacentral:sRNA from 1 species